rnacentral:rRNA from 1 species
AUUGAACGCUAGCGGGAUGCUUUACACAUGCAAGUCGAACGAGUGGCGGACGGGUGAGUAAUAUAUCGGAACGUGCCCAGCAGCGGGGGAUAACUACUCGACAGAGUGGCUAAUAUCGCAAACUUUUGGAGCGGCCGAUAUCGGAUUAGCUAGUUGGUGGGGUAAAGGCUCAACAAGGCAACGAUCCGUAGCUGGUUUGAGAGGACGCCCAGCCACACUGGGCCUGAGACACGGCCCAGACUCCUACGGGAGGCAGCAGUGGGGAAUUUUGGACAAUGGGGGAAACCCUGAGCCAGCCAUCCCGCGUGUAUGAGAAGGCCUUCGGGUUGUAAAGUGCUUUUGGCAGAGAAGCGGUAUCUGCAGAAUAAGCACCGACGAACUACGUGCCAGCAGCCGCGGUAAUAC